rnacentral:snRNA from 1 species
UAAACAUGUGGGUAUCGGGCCAG